ACUCUGUAUAUUUAGGUAUUUAAAUAAAAGUAAACAAAAUCUACCCUUAAAUCGCUCCUUAAGCCAGUUGAGGGUAGAUGAAAACAUUACACGAUCAAAUAAUAGAUUCAGACGGUUUUGUAUUUGGUUGGUUAACCAAUAAAUGUUAUAACUACCCGAAAAUGUACAAAUUGUUUGUUUACUUUUAUUGAAAUACCUAAAGAUACAGACUACCUAUAUGUAGGGUCCGUCUAAACUAACUUUGCACCGAUUUCAAUAGAACAAAGUGAAGGAGUGUAUAAACGUAAUAUUUUCAUAGAAAUUUGGCAUUAAUGAUGACAUAACCACACUUUGUCAUUACAAAUGCCAUACAGAAUUAUCUUGGUCUGAUUGUACAAUAAUUUGGAAGAUUUUGUUUGAACGGAGUCACGAAAGGACACCAUUAAUUUUAUGCAAGGUACUCGUAAUUGUUGAAAAGACCUUUUUUUACUUUUAGGCUUAGUAUUUCAACGUUUGAACAAAUAUUGCGAGUUGAUUAUAUCAUUAAUAUAUUUUAAUUUUAAGCUAAUCGACGAUAUAUUAUAAGAAAUAUAUCUUAGAAUAUCGUAAGUUAAGAAAGUUUGUUAUUUUUGUUCAAAUCUAUAUAUUUAUCGUUUGAAACCAAAGAUUUAUUGAUGACGAUGAUUUUAUAUUUUAAUUUUUUUCUGAUAUCGUUUAGUGCCUUUUGAUAAAAAUAUAUAUAAAUUAUAUUAUAUGUAAUAACCGCCGAGAAUUCGUUUGGAUAAGUAUUUAGGGGCCUUAUAUUAUAUUUGGAUUUCUAUGAUCUAUUUAAGAUCAGAAAUUAUGAUAAUAUUAAAAAAUCCUAAAGUAGGUACUACAGAGUGUUACAUCAAGUUAUCACCAGACAUCGUAGAUUUUAUAUCAUUUUCGGUGCAGCGGAGUGGUGCUAACGGAAUUCGUAUAAACUAUUUCAACCCUAAUGAUUAAUUCUCCUUAAUUACGUUAAUAUUAACCUUAAUUUACCAUUUCAGUUGGAAUUAUCUAUACCAAUUCCGUUAACACCAGUCCCCUGCACCAAAAAUGCUAUAAAAUUUACGAUGUCUGGUUAUCACUUAUCACUUGCCUGUCUAUUUUUUCGACUAAGCACGGCAAAAUAAAAAUCCCCAUUUUUAUUGCCCGUAUAGGCCCGUCCUUAGAUAUAUGUCAAUGGGCGGCGGCUAAUAGUUUCUUAUGACUCUUAACAUCCUAAACUAGUAUUUAAAAUAAAGGAGGUUAAAAGAAACAACAACUUAGCAAACUCUUUACGACUUUUAUUUAAAGUUUCAUCUACAGUUUAAUAGCACAUAACGUGACACAUCAAAGUACUUUUACAGACGAUACUCAAUCACUUAUACAUUUCACGAAUCCAUCAAUAAACAAAAUUUAUA